AUACGGAGGUGGCAAGCGUUGUUCGGAUUUAUUGGGUGUAAAGGGUAUGUAGGUGGUUAGAUAAGUCGAGCGUGAAAUCCAUUGGCUCAACCAAUGAACUGCACUCGAAACUGUUUAACUUGAGUUCAGGAGAGGAAAGCGGAAUUCCAGGUGUAAGAGUGAAAUCUGUAGAGAUCUGGAGGAACACCAGUGGCGAAGGCGGCUUUCUGGACUGACACUGACACUGAAAUACGAAAGCUAGGGGAGCAAACAGGAUUAGAAACCCCAGUAGUCC
rnacentral:rRNA from 1 species